AUCUCCGCCAUUUUGUGGACAGACGGUGGAGAGUCGCAGAAGUGUUCACAUUACUUCAGCCUUCACGACCAUAACCAGAUAACCUCUCACUCACACGCAUGAACCCUUGCAAGUAAUUGAACUGAAGAAUUAGCAGCAAUGAAUCUGAAAUAGUAAUAGUACAACCAUCACAACAGUCACCACUGCUAAAUACUACUACUACUACAACAGUGAAGUGGUGUCCAUUAGAGGUGGUGAGGCCAGAUGUUGAGAGAGGUCACUUUUCUCCUUAAGAUGUCUAUGACUUAGUGACAGAGAGUCAGAGAGGAAGGUCACUUAGUAAGGAGUGCAAUGAAGAGCUCCAGUUUUCCUUGAAUUUCUUCUCUCCUCACUUACUUUACCAGAAUCAUCACAUUUAUAUUGUAAUGAUGUAAUAAAGAAAAAUUGUACUGUAAUUAAUACCGGUGAUUUUUAAUUAUUACAAAUUUGUGCAUGUGUGUGUGAUUUUUAAUAUGCCACUGCUUUUAGUAGUCUAAUGGUGUUAUUAAUAGAUGGGUUAAGUUAAUUUACUUGUGUUUUAAACUUUAAUUAUCUACUUGUAAAUUUAGUAAGAAAAUUGAUUGCAAUUAAUAAUGGCUUAUGGUAUUCUAUUCAAUGAGUUGGGUUUCAUUACUGUUAUGUCAUUUAAAUGUAAUUUUACACACACACACACACACACACACACACACACACACAUUUCUGCCUCAUCCUGUGUUUAUUACAAAUCACAAACACAAUUUCUUCCUUUGUCUUCUCAAGUUACUAAAAUUACCCUUUAACUCAACAAAACACACAAUUUAUGCUUCCUUCUAAAUCACAAAAGCACAAUUUUUCCCUCACCCCAAAACAAAAUCUCUCUACUCAUCUCAUCAUUAAUGUAGUUUGAGUGUUAAUAAAACAAUAAUAACAUUUAGUAAAUAUUUAUUGGAAAUAGUAUUGAUUGAUUGAUCUGUAAAAUAAGAUGUUAGUGCUGGUUUUAAUAAUACUGAGAACUUGAGAACAAUAACAAAAUCAAUAAAAAAUAAUAAUAAUAACAUAAA